rnacentral:lncRNA from 1 species
AGAUCGACCGGAGAUGGCCGGACUGCGGGGAACGGAGCCGGGGAGUCGAGGAUUGAAGAACCCGGGGAACAGGGUAAAAACUCGGCCACUGGCGAAGAGCCAGUGGCACCGGGGGGCACAUCGGGAAGGGCUGCGGUGGCAACGAGCGCGGACGCGAGGCGGGCAGGGAGCCUCCGCGGACGGAAGGGCCGCACCGGGGGCGGUGCGGGGACGCUGCGGCCAGCUGCCAGGAGUAGGGGAGCCACGCACUCACCGCUUUGCUCCCCCAGGAACACCAGCUUGAAUUUCCUCAGCGGAUUCCCGAAGUCUCCGCCCGUGGACAUUGUGGAACUAGAGGAGCGGCCGCCGCCUCAGCCUAGAGACCUCCCGGACCGAUGCUGCUCCAGCCAGCUGACGAAAAAGGCGAGCGGAAGGGCGGGCACCGAGCUCUCUCGGCCCCUGCAAGGCCCGGUGGAGGAGCCCGGCUGGAGGGCAGCAGGACUCUCCACAGACUGGCAGCCGCCGCCGCCUCCCGGCAGAGUAGCCUAGCACCGAGCGAGGCCCGCGGCUGGGAAGGGAAGGAGGGCGGUGUCGGCAGGAGCCAGGGGUGUCCUCUGGCUUCCCAAAGCUAGGGCCGUUCCCUCCUUCCGCACUCGGCUCCCAGACCUGGGGAAGAGAAGCUGAGGGUGGCGGAGCCGGAACCGCAGACGUAUCUGGGACCUCUCACGCGCAGCGCCUGAGCUUCCACAGCUGCCGCCGCCGCCGCAGCCCAACCUGCUGAGUGCGCGAGCCUCUGGAGCGGCGCGGGGCGAGCCCGGGCGCGAGCCUGCGGCCCCGCCGGCCGCUGGCGUGCGUGCGUGCGUGCAUGCGUGCGCGCCACCGCCAUCGCCAUCGCCUUCCUGGUUUGGACAGCUCUACCGGCUCCUCCCGCACGGCGGCGACGGGGCAGGAAUGUUAUAACUGCCAGAAUCAUGGCCUCCCAAUUUUGCAGAUGAGGAAACUGAAGCUUAGAGGGAGUAAAUGACUUGCAAAAUCCAUAAAGCGGGCUGGGCGCGGUGGCCCACGGCUGUAAUCCCAGCACUUUGGGAGGCGGAGGCGAGUGGAUCACGAGGUCAAGAGAUCGAGACCAUCCUGGCCAACAUGGUGAAACCCUGUCUCUACUAAAAAUGCAAAAAUUAGCUGGGGGUGGUGGCGCGCGCCUGUAGUCCCAGCUACUCGGGAAGCUGAGGCAGGAGAAUCGCUUGAACCCGGGAGGCGGAGGUUGCAGUGAGCCGAGAUCACACCACUGCACUCCAGCCUGGCGACAGAGCGAGACUCCAUCUCAACAG